CUGCAUGGUCCACAAAAGAGAGUGGUAUCGGUGGUCGAUUUGUGGUGCUGAGAUGAAGUUGGCUACAAUUAUAUAACCUACUGUAUGUCAGAAUACACAAAAUAGUGAAACAAUGAAUUUCAACGCCAAUCUCUUAUCAGUGAUCCUUCUACUGAUGAACAUUACAGGAUCUCAAACAUUUGACCAUUUCCCUGUGACCUGUGAGAAUCAAAACAUUUGUGCUUUGAGUGAGACUCAAGUGACACUGAAGUGCUCUUAUUCAAACAUUAACAUCAAACAUGUGUUCUGGUUCAGUCAGAAACAGAGUACAAACUGGAGAAACAAAGAUGAACCUGAAGAUUUGACUGUAGACUCUUAUUACUCAGGACGAGUGAAACAUCAGAUCACAAACACACAUUCAACACUCACAAUAACAGACUUGAGACUGAGAGACUCUGGACAAUAUCACCUCAUGUUCAUUAUGAAGGAUGGAGUUAAACAUCUCAGCUCAUCAGCAGUCAAUCUGACAGUCACAGUCCUGCAGGUGAAAAUUAAUUAUCAAUCAACAGAGCAGAGAAAUCAGAGAGUACUUGAACUGACCUGUGAUACUUCCUGCACUUUGACCUCCAGACCUCAGAAUUACUACUGGAAACUAAAUGGGCAAUAUAUUAAAAAUAAUCAUUCCAGAAGCAUCAAUGUGUCAUCCAGUGAAGAUCCUGUCAGCUACUCCUGUUUUCUUACUCCUGACCUUAAAAAUACCUCCUCUCCCGUGUGCAUUUCUAAGAGUAACUGCUGGAAUGUGACUUACACCUCUAGAAGAGUCUGUGCUUUGGUGGGCUCAACAGUAGACAUUUCCUCUUCAUACUCACAUCCCACUGGUUAUACAGUAGAAGGAACAUUCUGGCAUUACGUUCGGCCUGGGGAUUUCCUGGACCUGCGUAAAGAGUCGUGGUUUGUUGGUCGUGUGGAGUAUGUGGGAAACACACUGAGAAUCAAAGAUGUAAAGAUGAGCGACUCUGGAGAAUAUAAAUUCAGGAUCAUCACUGAUAGGAACCCUUACUCUGGUUCACCUGGAGUUAUUCUUACUGUAACAGAUACACAGAAGACAAGCAGCCCAGACACUGUAUCAGAGGGAGAGAAAGUGAUAUUAAGCUGUUCAACCAAAUGCACCCUGAAUAACAAUCAUACUUAUAUUUGGUACAAGAAUGGACAACAGGUAACAGAUGGAGUCACAAAAUUAAACAAGUUGUAUCUGGACUCAGUCAGCAGAGAGGAGCUGCAAGAAUAUUCCUGUGAUGUAGGAGGAAUCCAGGGACCUACAAACCCAGAGAACACCACAGCAAUAUUGAGCACUAUAAUCAUACUGUCUGUGUUUCUGAUUCUUGCACUUAUUGGAGUCCUGUGCUAUAGGAGGAGGAAGGAUAAUCCAUCUCAAAACUGUGAGGAUGCAAAAGAGGGUUUAAAGUCUGAUUUUGCUACAGUGGAUUACACUGCACCGUUGUCUACAAUCUAUGACUCCACGCAGCAAACUAACGUGAAGGAUGAGGACAUUCAUUAUUCAACAGGCUUUCAAACAGGAUACCGUUCAGACCAUUUCCUUGUGACCUGUGAUGAACAGAAUAUUUGUGCUUUGAACGGGAAUCAGAUGACACUGAAUUGCUCUUACUCAAACAUGAACAUCAAAACUGUGUUCUGGUUCAGUCAGAAACAGAGAAACAACUGAAGAAACAAGGAAGAACCUGAAAAUUUUACUUUAGACUCUGAAUUCUUAGGAUGAGUGAAACAGCAGAUCACUAACAUACAUUCAACACUCACAAUUUUAGACCUGAGACUGAGAAACUCUGGAGAAUAUCACCUCAUGUUCAUUAUAAAGGAUGGAGAUACAUUUAUUAUCUCUCCAGCAGUCAGUCUGACAGUCACAAGGAAAUAUGGAUAUUCUGACCUCAGAAGUACUACUGGAAACAAAAUGGGCGAUCUUUAAAAGAUAUUAAUUCCAGAAGCAUCAACGUGCCAUCCAGUGGAGAUACUGUCUGCUACUCUUGUGUUCUUACUUCUGACCACAGAAAUUACUCCUCUCCCAAGUACAUUUCUAAUAGUAGCUGCUGGAAUGUGAUUUACACCUCUAGAAGAGUCUGUGCUUUGGUGGGCUCAACAGUAGACAUUUCCUCUUCAUACUCACAUCCCAGUGAUUAUACAAUAAAUAAAACAUUCUGAUAUUACAUUCGUCCUGGCAUUACGGAAAUCCUGGACCUGCGUAAAGAGUCGUGGUUUGUUGGUUGUGUGGAGUAUGUGGGGAACACACUGAGAAUCAAAGAUGUCAAAAUGAGCGACUCUGGAGAAUAUAAAUUCAGGAUCAUCACUAAUAGAAACUCUUACAAUGGUUCACCUGUCAUUCUGUCUGUCACAGAUACACAGGUGACAAGCAGCCCGGCCACUGUAUCAGAGGAAGAGAAAGUGAUAUUAAGCUGUUCAACCAAAUGCGCUCUGAAUAACAAUCAUACUUACAUCUGGUCCAAGAAUGGACAACAGGUAACAGAUGGAGUCACAAAAUUAAACAAGUUGUACCUGGACUCAGUCAGCAGAGAGGAGCUGCAUGAGUAUUCCUGUGCUGUAAGAGACUUUCUGACUGUAAAUUGUGGUAUUUGAACUCAGGGACAGAGACAGAAAUUAUGAGUUCAGAUGGUUAACAAUGGCAACAGGAGGAAUUCAACCAUACAUGUUUGAGCCAGAGUCUGAUCCCGAAUCUGAAGAAAAUGAACCUCCUCCACAAACACCACGGAUACUGCUGUCUGUGACAGUGUGGCUUUCCAACAGGACACAGGCCACUGGACCAUUUCCCUGUGACCUGUGAGAAACAGAACAUUUGUGCUUUGAGUGAGACUCAAAUGACACUGAAGUGCUCUUAUUCAAACAUUAACAUCAAAUAUGUGUUCUGGUAUCUACAGAGCAGAGAAAUGAAAUAGAACUGACCUGUGAUACUUCCUGCAAUAUGCCAUUCUCACUACUACUGGAAGCACAAUAGGCAAUAUUUAGGUGUUAGUUACAAAAGCAUUGUUUUUCCAUACAAUAAAGAUGCUGGCAGCUACAUCAGCUCCCUUACUGAAGACUAUAAAUAUCCAUCCUCUCCUGUAUGUGAUUGGUUCAAAUACUCACUGUGGAGCUCUGUGGAUGUGGUAAGUAAAAACAUCUUGCUCUAAUAGAAACUGCAUCACAGUGGGGAAACUUAAUUAAAAUUGACAAAUCUGAAAUACAUGGUCCCACAGGUUUUUUUCUCAGCAUAAGAAAAAAACAGAUCUCAUCUAAAAAAGUGAAUUUAGAUGGAAAUUAAGAGGUGAGAAGUUCCGACUAUGGGGAUUCACUAUAAUAUGAUAAAUGCGGAUAGCUAAAAUGGUAUUAAGUCAGUAUUUGGAAGUCAGUACUGAUACUUAAUCCUCAUUCUGGCUGGGGUUUGUCCUAAACGCCUAACCGCAAGUAUUAAACUGUACAGUCAUGUACAGACUCCAUUCGACAUAUUUUUUGAAAUUUACUUUAAAAUGUAAUCGACAUUGAUGACAUUAUCAUAAUCUUGCAUAGUGAACUGUGAUUGGUCUUUUAUUUUUUCAUAUAUUUAACCAUCGAUAUCUGGCUUGACACAGCAAAGAGUGCCAUGACAACAACAAAGCGGCUCUGAUGCAACAUUUCAUAAACAAUGAACCAAAGCCUAAAACGUAACUUAUUUUGCUGCCUUACAAACACUAGUAUUUCUUUCAUGAAAAGCAGUCUAUAGAAGUUAUCCGUUUCUCCUUGAUCUUACAAUCUAGUGUCCAAAAUCUGUCAUUUAAAAGCCAAAACAUGGACAAAGAUGAAAAUGAGUAAUUCUAAAUGUAAAGAAUCCACUAUAAUACAAUCAAUGCAUGACAAUUUUUUUUUUUUUUAAUUUUUUUUUUUUUAUAUUAAAUGUUCUCUAUCUAUUUGUCUGUAUCUUCUAGAGUGAGCUGUUCCCUAUUUUCUUCUAGGAAUGCCAUCUCUGGUGGAGUGAUGUCUUAAUGUGAGAGGUCUAAAGUCUCCUAUCACAGUCACAACUCUAAUUUUAAAGGGAUGGUUCACCCAAAAAUGAAAGUUCUCUCAUUAUUUACUCACCCUCAUGCCAUCCUAGAUAUGUAUGACUUUCUUUUGCUGAACACAUAUGAAGAUUUUUAGAAGAACAACUCUUUUAAGUCCACACAAUGCAAGUGAAUGGUGGACAGAACUUUGAAGGUUCAAAAAGCACAUAAAUGAAGCCUAAAAGUAACAUAUACGACUCCAGUUGUUUAACCUAUUGUCUUCAGAAGCGAUAUGAUGGGUGUGGGUGAGCAACAGAUGAAUAUUUCGUUAUUUGUUUCAUGUAAAUAUACUUUCACCAGCCCUCCUACUGUACGCACAUUCACGAGAAUUCUUCUUCUGUUUUUUUGCCAAUUCGCAUUCUUCGUGCAUAUUGUCAUCUACUGGGCUGUUGAACAAAUAAUUUAGUUAUUCUUUUCCUUUGCUUUAUCCCUCCCUUUUAUUCUUUCUCCUCCCUGCCAGUAGGUGGCAUUAUGCACGAAGAAUGUGAAUCGGCAAAAAAUAGAAAGACAAAAACUCGUGAACAUGCAUAGAAGGCCGGUGAAAGUACAUUUAUAGUAAAAAAAAAAAAAAAAAAAGACUUAAAUAUUGAUCCGUUUCUCACCCACACCUAUCAUAUCACUUCUGAAGGCAUGGAUUUAACCACUGGGGCCAUAUGGAUUAUUUUUAUGCUACUGUCAAUGAUAUUGACCUUCAAAGUGUUGGCCACAAUUCACUUGCAUUGUAUGAACCAACAGAGCUGAGAUAUUCUUCUAAACAUUUGUUUGUGUUCCGAAGAAAAAAAAGUCAUUCACAUCUGGGAUUACAAAUUAUGUUGCUGCAUCAGUAUAUAAUGGAAAGAAAUUCAUUUCUCCAAUCUUGAUACACUUUGUGUCCAGAAAAAAAAGAAUUUUCUUUAAAGUGUGCGUUUAGCCUCGUUGUACAUUUCUCUCAGAGAACUCAAUAGUAUCUAAUAACAAGGGUUAGUUAUAGAUAAGUUUCCCAUGGUGUAAGCCCCAUCCGACAGUUCAGCAUUAGGAUUCUCACUCGAACCAUCAGAUCCUGCCGGAAGGUGAUGAAGGCAGGGAAGAGGAACUUGCCCCAAAAAGGAAAUUAGACCUAAUUUAGACUUAUAACCACCAAAAGGAAUUAGAACCCAAUUAAAAAAUCCCCCAAAGGAGACCUACUAAUAGUUCAACUUAGAACGACCAGGUCUCAAUGUGAAGGAACCUGAAAGAAGCAGAAUAUUUGUAAAUUACAUUAAUAUAACUGUAUAUGACGCAAACAUGAAAACCUUACAAACUGCAGAAUAAUGCCAUUCCUGCUAAAAGAUGACUAGCAUUGUGAAAUGGCAUAGCUUGUGAUGUGUAUGUGCAAAUGGACUGCCCAUGGAAUGGGUGGCAUUGCUUUGUGACAUGUCUGAAACAAACUGGCUAUGAAUUGGCUGUGAUAUGUCUGUGCAAACAGACUGGCCGUGAAUUGGUUGCGAUGUGCCUGUGUUGCAGACUGGCCGUGAAUUGGUUGCAAUGUGUCUGUGUGAACAGACUAGCCUUGAAACUGUUGUGAUGCGUAUGUGAAACACAAUAUGUCUGUGAAACAGACUGCCCAUGAAAUGGGAAGCAAUGCUUGCAAUGUGCCUCAGCAAACAGUGUACCCACGCAAAGUUGUGGCAAGCUGUAAUAUGCUGAAUACAUAAAUGUUGACUGAUAAAGACGAUUAUGUAAUUAGACAUUAUUGGGGCAAUUUAACCACCAAUGCAAAUACCUACACUGGUACAUUGAAAUGACCCUUUAUUAAAAGGAAACAUUGCAUAAUUGCAAUACAUGGUUGGUACAUCCCAUUUGAUUUGAUACUACAAACUGAUACAUAUACAAGCUUUGAAUUACAGUUGAUCUCAAUGGACCAGACAAACUCAUUGGUGGUGGCGGUUGUGUAUCUUCCACCGAAAUUUAUCAAAGACUUUAUUACUGAGUUCUCAGAUUUUUUAGGGGUUACCACUCCUAAAUAUGACAGACCUUUAAAUGUUGGUGACUUUAAUAUUCAUGUCUGUUGUGCCUCUAAUGCAUUAGCCAAAGACUUUGUCAGUCUUAUUGAUGUCUUUGAUUGUGAACAAUUGGUGAAAGAACCAACGCACUCACAUGGCCAUAUUUUUGAUCUGGUUCUGUCCCAUGGCCUGUCUAUUUCUGACAUUCAAAUAGGGUAUUUAAUUUUUCAGACCACAAGCCGGUAACUUUCACUGUUCCUCUUGUUCAUCAUGAUACUAAAAUCAUUAGACCUACACGAUGGACAUGAAGAAUUGGUCCAACAUCUGGGGAGGAAUUUGAUGUAGCAUUUAGUGAAAUAUCAUAAAAAUAAAUUUGAACCAUGGUUAAAUAGCAGUACUUGGUUAUUAAGACAAGCUUGCAGGAGGGCAGAACAUAGAUGGAAAAGGGAAAAGUUACAAGUGUCUUUUGAAAUCUUACGGGAAUCUCUAAUUAAAUAUCAAAAAGCAGUGAAAGCUGCGAAGUCAAAUUACUUUUCUGACAUAAUAUCUAAUAACUCAAAUAGACCCAGGACACUGUUUAAUAACUUAAAUUCUAUCAUAAAUCCUAUAGGUAAUACAUAUCCUGCUGAGUCUUCCACACUAUGUGAACAUUUUCUGAAUUCUUUGUGGAUAAAAUAGCAGUGAUUAGACAGUCGUUUGUGCCUUCAACAGAUGAUCCUUUGGAUCCUCCCAGCUGCACCAUGCUCUUAAAUACAUUGGAGCCGAUCUCUAUGUCCUUCUUAAUGAACAUAGUUGCUCAGUUGAAGCCCACCACCUCUUCCCUUGAUAUUGUUCCUACGUACUUUUUUAAACAGAUAUUUGAUAGUGUUCGGAUGUGGAUCUUAUCAGUAGUAAAUAACAGUCUUUUAUCUGGGUCUGUUCCAGUGUAUUUUAAACAUGCCUUGGUGAAACCAUUACUGAAAAAGCCAAAUUUGGACCCAACAGAUUGGUCUAAAAUGAGAUAAAUCUCAAAUCUACCUUUUUCUGCAAAACUUUUGGAGAAAGUUGUGUUGGAUCAAUUACAGAGUUUCUUGGAAAGAAACAGCAUUUUUGAAAAAUUUCAGUCUGGUUUUCGGAAAAAACAGUUCUGAAUCGACUCUCCUAAGGGUUUUAAAUUACAUCUUGCUAUCCAUUGAUACUGGGGAUUCUGCAAUUUUAUUGUUAUUAGAUUUGAGUGCAGCGUUUGACACUGUUGACCAUGGCAUUCUUAUGUCACACUUGGAACACUGUGUGGGUAUCCGAGGAAGUGCCCUUUGUUGGUUCAAUUCUUAUCUUAGCGAUAGAACUUUUUCCGUAGGUAUUGGAUGUUCUGUUUCUUCUGUAGCUCCCAUUACUUGUGGUGUCCCUCAAGACUCUAUUCUUGCUCCCACUCUUUUCUCCCUUUAUAUGAUCCCUCGAGUCAAUUUUAAGGAAGCAUGGAGUGGCUUUACAUUUUUAUGCAGAUGACACCCAAAUUUAUCUGCUGAUGAAACAAAAUGACAAGAAAGGUCUGGAAACCCUGCUUGCAAGUCUGGCCGAUAUUAGAUCUUGGAUGUCAUCGAACUUCUUAAACUUAAAUGAGAGCAAAACGAAAGUUGUUGUGUUUGGGCCCACUGUGGUUAAAGGUAAUACAAACCUUAAUCUUGGCAAUCUGACAUCUUACAUCAAACCAGCUUUCAAAAACUUGGGAGUGAUUUUUGAUUCUUCCCUCAAGUUUGAUCAACAUAUUAGUUCAGUGGUUAAGUCAAGUUUUCAUCUGAAACUUCUGGCCAAAGUUAGGUCUUUUAUCUUUUAAAGACCUUGAGAGAGUUAUCCAUGUUUUCAUUUUGUCCCGCUUGGAUUAUUGUAAUUCUUUAUAUACCAGAAUAUCAAAGUCCUCUAUUUUACGGCUUCAAAUGGUCCAAAACACUGCUGCCAGACUUUUAACUGGGGUGCGUAAAUGUUGAGUACAUCACUCUGAUUUUAAGGUCUUUUAAAUUGGUUGCCAGUGUGUUAUAGAAUUUAUAUUAAGGUAUUAUUGUUUGUUUUUAAGUCACUAAAUGGCUUGGCGCCUGUCUAUCUGUCGGACCUGCUAAGCGAAAUAAAGCCUAUCAGAUGUGUACGAUCCGCCGAUCAGAACAUUCUGUCCUUUUCCAGAUCAAGAUUAUAUCUGAGAGGUGACCGUGCAUUUGCGAUUGCUGGCCCUAAGUUAUAGAACAGCCUACCUCUGUCUGUCAGAUCUGCCACCUCCCUACAAGAUUUUAAAUAUAAGUUAAAGUCUUAACUUUUUACUUUGGCUUUUAAUUUAUCAUAAUUUGAUGUUAUUAUUGAUUUUUUUUAUUCUACUUGUUUUAUUUUAAAACCUGGUUCUGUACAGCAAAGUGGUCAAAUUUGUUGUGUUUAUUUGUGCUUUAUAAAUAAAUAAAUGAAAUGAAAUGAUUUAAAAUAUUCUGACUGGCAUCAGUUAUACACUGAUGUGCAGUUGCCUACCGC